UAGGGGCAUUAGUUAAAUAUGGAAGCCAAUUUACACCUGUGUCACCAUAAGUUUUAACAAAACUGAAAACAAAGUCUGAAGACAAAAGUCAGGAAGAUGUCAGUACCAAUUUGUGUGAGAUACUCUGUGAUCUGUACCAACAACUGUGGACCAACACGUCAGCUACGGGACUUAACUGGUUAAACUGGUCUCCAUCUUCUCAUAGCACGACAUCAAGUGUUGAUAGAACCAGGAAAAGUUUGAGUCCAGAAAGUCUUCAGAAGGCAGUAUUAAGUCAGACAACCUACCACCUGAUGUAUGGAGAAUCGGAAGAAACAC